CAUGCAAGUCGAGAGGGGUAAAGCCCUCGGCGAACUGCUCAGUAACACGUGGAUAACCUGACCUAGGGUGGAGGAUAACCCCGGGAAACUGGGGAUAAUACUCCAUAGGCUACGGAAGCUGGAAUGCUCUGUAACCCAAAGCUCCGGCGCCCUAGGAUGGGUCUGCGGCCGAUUAGGUUGUUGUUGGGGUAACGGCCCAACAAGCCGAUCAUCGGUACGGGUUGUGGGGGCAAGAGCCCGGAGACGGAUUCUGAGACAUGAAUCCAGGCCCUACGGGGCGCAGCAGGCGCGAAAACUUUACAAUGCGGGAAACCGUGAUAAGGGGACCCCGAGUGCCUGUACACGCAGGCUGUUCAGGUGUUUAAAACGCAUCUGGAGA
rnacentral:rRNA from 1 species